rnacentral:lncRNA from 1 species
UUAAGCUUUACCACAGCAUUAUUAAGUGCAAAUAAUUUCCUCACUGGACCUCGUUUAGUUUUGACAAAAUUCUGAGUUGACUUAUUUUAUCCACAGACUUGCCAAUUCAGCUGCCCCCGAGCUAUUUUAGUUUAAUCAUUAAACCAUUAGCAGUGGUCUAGUUUGCUUAAUUUUCUUGUAGCUGGUACAUGAACAACAUUAGAGCUUUCUUCAGUCCUUAAACCACUAUUUCUGACUAAUAACUUGGCAUAUGUGUAGGUAUUUUGUUGUUGUUGAUGACAUAUGGGAUAUAUCAGUUUGGAAAAUGAUUAGAUGUGCUUUGCCUGAUAAUGAUGUUGGAUACACUAUUAUUACAACCACCCGUAUUUCUCAUGUUGCUGAACAAGCUGGGGGUGCUUACAACAUGAAACCUCUUUCUUUGAAUAACUCCCGAAAACUACUAUAUAGAAGAAUAUUUGGUAGUGGGAAUAAAGACAACAAUGAAACAGAAGAAAAAUGUCAUAAGGAGAUGGCCGAAGUAUCUGACAGAAUACUGAAAAAAUGUGCUGGUGUGCCAUUGGCUAUAAUUACGAUGGCUAGUUUACUAGCUUGCAAAGCAAGAAAUAAAAUGGAGUGGUAUGAGGUGUACAAUUCUGUUGGUACUGGUCUGGAAAACAAUCUAGAUGUGGAGAAUAUGAGAAAGAUUUUAUCAUUUAGCUAUUAUGAGCUACCAUGCUAUUUAAGGGCUUGUUUGUUAUAUUUGAGCAUGUUUCCUGAAGAUUAUGAAAUUGGGAAGGAUCGUUUGAUAAGGAUGUGGAUAGGUGAAGGUUUUAUCCAAUGUGAAAAAGUAGGGAAGAGCCUAUUUGAACUCGGAGAGAGUUAUUUUAAUGAGCUUAUAAACAGAAGCAUGAUCCAACCAAUAUAUGAUAGUAAAAAUGAUAUGAUAUCAAGCUGUCGUGUACAUGAUAUGGUGCUUGAUCUUAUCCGCUCCUUGUCAAGUGAAGAAAACUUUGUUACUAUACUAAGUAAUAUGGGAGGCACAUCUCCAUCAAAUACGAUUCGGAGGUUGUCCCUUCAGAAUGGUCAGGAAAGUCAUGUGAUGGCUCAAGCUACAUGGAGCUUGCAACAUACAAGGUCAGUUUUUGUCUUUCCAACUUCUAUUUCUCCAGUGCUACCUCUUGACUACUGCCGAGUUUUACGUGUUCUGGAUUUAGAAGGCUGCAAUCUUUCACAAGCUAAUAGUAUCCUUAAGUGCCUUGGGAAUAUACAUCACUUGAGGUACUUGGGACUUCGUCGGACAGGUAUUUCUCAGCUCCCAGAAGAAAUAGGAAACCUGCAGUUUCUACAAAUAUUGGAUGUAAGGCGCAACAAUAUUUUCAGGUUGGCUUCGAGAGUUGUCCAGCUAAGAAAGUUGAUGUACCUAUACAUUGACCGGUCUACAACAGUUCCAAACGGAAUUGGAAAUCUGACAUGCCUUGAACAGCUGUCAUGGUUACGCAUUAAUGACUCCACUAGAAACAUUAUACAAGAGUUGGGCCAGCUAACUGAACUGAGGCAGUUGUCCAUUGAAUUGGACAAGUGGAACGACAAGCUGUUGGAGUGCCUAUGCAAGCUACAAAAGAUGCAGGAACUAGUUAUCACGGUCCGUCAUGGUCAACGCAGCAUCGGCAGAUUGGAUGCUUGGGUCGCCCCUCGACAUCUCCGCGUAUUUCAAUCACCAGACAACUGUUGGUUUUCAACACUGCCAGCUUGGGUGAAUCCAUCGCUUCUUCCGGACCUGACCUUCCUAUCCAUCGACGUGAGGGAGCUACAUCAGGUUGAUCUCGAAAUCCUCGGGAGGUUGCCAGCUCUCCGCUUUCUUUCUCUGAAGAUGGACAACAAGAACCUUGGUAUCCUUGCAGGAUUCGUUGUUGGUGCUGGUGCAUUCCCGUGCCUUGUAACCUGUUACUUCUGUCAAUUUGUGUGGCCAGUGGUAUUUCAACAGGGAGCUAUGCCAAGGGUCAGAGAGCUUGUGAUCUGGCGGUUUUAUCUGCGGGAGGCAAGAGGAAUUGCCUGCACCGAUGGUAGUCUCGACUUGGGCAUGGGAAACCUGCCGUCGCUGCAAUAUGUCAAGGCUGACCUGCGAUGUGAUGGUGCUGGCAAGGAGGAGGCAGAGCAAGCCAAGGCUGCGCUGACGCAUGCAGCUCAAAUGCAUCCCAAUCAUCCCUUACAUUUGAUCCAUAUUACAGGUGCGCCAGCUCCUGAUUGUUAUUCCUUACUUCUCUCCUUCCCCUUUCUUCUAAACUGUAUUUGCGUUUAUUCCUCUGUUUGAGAUGGUCGAUCUCCAGCUGAUCUUUCACCACGCCUUUCUUCUAGCCCCUAUGCCUCAACUCUUCUAAUCUUCCUUUGGUAUAUUUCGGUCUGAUAUACAGAUCACGACUACUAUAAGACACUAUGCCGGAAGCUGGACCGGAGCAGAGCAGAUGUUUCGCCACGCAUGCAGAGGUUAAACUGCUCGGCCUUAGCUUUACCAGACACCCUCAACCUGCGAGUAAACAAUGAAUACUGCACACAUGCGUCUGUGACUUAGAGCUUUGAUCAUUUGUGCUGUAAUCCCUGACUAACUUCCCCCUCUGUUACAACUUACAAGAACUGUAAAGAAAAAAUAGAAACGCAGUUAACAUCACAUACAAUGAAUCACAUCCCAUCAACAGAUAUUUGUCUAAGCUUCUCUUCAUCUCCACUACGGCAUUGCACCCCGCAGCCUUCUACACACGACGUCUAUGUUUUUUGUCGUGUGAUUCUAUAAUGGAUGAAGAACUGGUUACAGGUGAUCCUCGGAAGGUCACUUGACCUUUUCCUUAAGGCCCGUCGAAUGAAUUUGUCCGCGUGCUCCCUCGACCACGCGUCCACGUCCAUCCCGGCCGGCGAUCACCAGUCAUAAUAAGCUGAUUAGGCUGAUAGCUAUAUGAUUGAAGCAGCGGCAGCACAAACUCGGGUGUGGGACGGACUCUGUUAUCGAGCGUCAAGCAUCAUCGUUUACAUGUUGUUCAGAAUUCAGUCAUAUGGUUCAGUUCACUUCUUGGUUGUCAGGUAUUUCAGGGAGCCAAAAGCUGACUAGACUCACUGAUGAAACAUGCAUGCAUAGUGCCAUUGGUUCACUGAUAGAGAACUCACCUUCCAUGCGCUCCCUUUUAUCCCGGUUUAAAGUUGAUCCGGGACAAAGGGGGACGCCAUGGUAGGUUCAAAUGGGGCGGAGCUUUAGUUCCGGUUGGUAUUUUCAACCAGGACUAAAGCUCCCCUUUCCUUUAGUCCCGGUUGUAACGGCUAGUUACCAACCACCGAUGGCGCCCCCCUUUUAUCCUAGUUGGCUUCCAACCGGGACAAAAGUGCCACCCUUUUGUCCCGGUUGGAGUUACCAACCGGAACAUUCCAACGGGGAUAAAAGGGUGAAGCUUUUAUCCCGGUUGGAAGCUCCAACCGAGAUAAAAACUCAUCCCCUAUAAAAUCGCAAGACAGAGACCUUUCUUCCUCCUCCAUCCCGAGCCACUCCACUCCACAAAGACAAAGGGCUCAUCCUGUCCAUGGCGCCGAAGCAAGCCUAGGGGAGGUGCUGCCGAAUUUUUCUCGAAGCAAUGGAUGUAUAACGUGGACAGAUGGAGCAUGAAGUUUGUUGAUGGCUUGCAUUAUUUUCUCGAAGUGGUCAAAACGAACAAGCCAGAGAACGGGUUCAUAUGUUUUCCAUGCUUCCAAUGUAGUAACAAGGACUUUUACAUGCACUUGUUUAGAUACAGUUUCAUGCCUAACUAUUUGGUUUGGACCAAGCAUGGCGAAAGAAGGGUUGUAAUUGAAGAUGACAUUCCAGACUGGGCUGCAGGCCAAACUUUUGCAGAUACUACAAUAGGCGAGGUUGAUGAAGAUAAGUUUGCAGAAGACGGCCCUACUGAUGUCACACCAGAUUUUAAGGACAAAGUUAAGUGCAUUAAAUACAUGUGCGCCAGGAUCAAGUUACACACAUAUACGACAUAAGUGAAUAACAAAGACAGUGCCAUAACGAAAUAAAGAGAGUAUUAACCAUUAUUACAUGAUAAGUUACACACAUAUACGACAUAAGUGAAUAACAAAGACAGUGCCAUAACGAAAUAAAGAGAGUAUUAACCAUUAUUACAUGAUCGAAAGUCUCAAAUAAACUACAAAGUUUAAUUAUUACGCAGCGGAAGUCCAAAAGUAGCGACGGCUCCACAGGCAGCUGACUGAAGAACUAUACGCCUAGAACUCCUCGAAGUCUGGAAACUCCUCCAGAUUCACUUGGUCUGAACAGUGGUUUUGCAACGGUGAGUACACUUAUGGUUGGUAGUCAACAAGUCGUGGAGAACAGUGUAGUGUAAGGCUACCCAAGGUAUGUCUAAGGCAUAAUCAGCAUUAGCUUUUAAAUUAGUUGGUCAAGUUUUAGUAGCAUUUAACUAAGUGUAAGUUUAUACCACCCAAAAUGAAACAAGAACAUGAAUAAAAUAAUAACAUAACCAUAAAUGAAACAACAACAAUUUAAGUCCAUCAUUCGAUAAUAUUAUCAUGUGAGGGUUCAAGCCGCUCUUAACUAUGAGCACGGCUGAUCGAUCAGUUUUACACUCUGCAGAUGUUGCACAACUUUACCCACCUGUCGUGUAAAAGUUAAAAAGAACUUUGGACACAACCAUGCGGUGUCUGCAAGGCACCAUACCACACUUCCGAGGUGUGAUUGCAUAGGGACGCUACGAGGCCUUUACAAAGAUUCGCUAAUAAAAAGUAGCCCGCUAAGAUUUCCCCCCUAAUUUGCAACUGAAUUGCCUACCACUAUUAUUUAAAAAACUUAAAGUAACCCCUUAAUUUUGCAUCUAUAUUACCCACACAUGCCAUUAUUAAAAAUAACAUAAGGUAACCCUAUGUUUGAAUCAAAUAACCUUAAUUAAAAUAUACAGUAAUAUAUGAUUCUAAAUCAUCUAUAUCUUGCACUAUUGGUAUACGAUAUAAUAAUUAAGGUCUAUACACAUGAUGUGUGUCACCAUUUAUAAGGAUAUAUAAAGUGAUGAGAGUAUAGAUUUCUAUGCUAAAAUUGUAUCUCAAACUUAGGGUUCAUUAAACAAAUUUAAGCGCAUACCUGCGAUGCAAAGUGAAAAGUUAAAUAUUAUAAAUGUGGAUAAAAAUAUUAUAGAGUAAUUACUAACUAAAAUCUAUCACAAUUGGAUGAAGAUAUUAAGUAUAUAUCUCCAUAAGUAUUGUGUUCUAAUAUUUAACAAACGAGACAUAGCUUAUGGUAAUAGUUUUGUAGCAAUGUAGUCUCAUUUUUUUUCCAUUAGAGACUCUGCAUUAGUUCCCACAACACAAGCUAUAAAAAAGAGACAAAUUCUCAUAAAAAUUAAAAACAUCAAACACUAAUCAUUUAAACUCUAAUAAUCAUAGCCAUUGAUGUAUUAUAUUUUUUAAAAAGUUACCCACCACUGUCAUUGUGAAAAUAUUUAAAAAUAAGCUCUAAACCUAUUUUUAAUUUACCAAGCUUAGCUAUUAUAAAAAAUAAUUUAAAUAACCCCAUAAUCUUCAUCCAAUUUACUAAUACACAUCAUUAUAAAGAAUAACUUAAAAUGUCAUUCUAAAAUUUUAUCUAUGUUACCCGUGUAUGUCGUUAUUAAAAAUAACCUCAAGUAAACACCUAAAUCUUAAUCUAAUUAUCUUCAUGUGCAUCAUACAGAAAUAUCGAAAAGUAAACUAAUAUAUGAUUCUAAAUUAUCUAUUUAUGUCAUUGCAAUAUAAAAUACUAAGUUAAAGUAUAUACACAUGAUGAGUGCCACCGUUUAGACCAUUUAUACAUGUAUGUGAGGAAUCAAUAAAAAAUAUUGAUUUGUAUGCUAAACAUAAUGUAUGGAGGAUUGGAGGUGAGAUACAAAAUGGAAAAUGUAUGAAUAUGGAUGAAAAAAUCAAUCAGAACUGGACAAAGAUAGUUACAUAUCUAUAUAAGUAUUAUGUUGAAGUAUUAAAAAUAAGAGAGUAGUAGGUAAACAAUUUUGAUUAUUAGCUAGGAAUUUAAUUUCUAAAUAAUUUUCAAAUACAAUAGCUUCUAAAAAUAUUAGCCCGUACGGGAGCAUGGGUUGAUGGACUAGUAAUUUCUAAUAGCUAGGGUAAAAUACCAAAACACAAAAAAAUGAAAUUGUUUUCAAGAUUGGUCGACUUUUCUGUGAAUCAUUAUAUUACACGUGCCAUGUGUUUCUUCUCAGCGUGGUCUCAUGAUUUUCGACAAGCUAAACCUUACAGGUGGUCUUUUCUUAUUUCGUGUCAUAAAAAAGAAAAUAAAGAUAACGCAAGAAAAUGGAAUUAAUUCCAAGAUCGGUUGAAUUUUGUGUGAAUCAUUUACAUGCACAGAUGUGCCAUGCGUUUCUUCUUCUCAGUAACAUGGUGAUCUUCUGAUCGCUGGAGGGAUUCCUUGCUGCGUGUACACACAACACAAGACCACCAGUUCACGCAGUCACCAUUGCCAUUAGCUUGGUUCACCAGUUCACGCAUGCGCGCAACUGAUGGUGCAGGAUGACCAAGGAGGCAUGGUUUACUAGUUGCUGGGUCUUUCUUUGGGAUUUCAAACUUCAAACUACUUUUUCUCCCAAAUCAAAAAUUUAUUUUUGAAUCCGUUUGUAACACCCAAAAUUUUAGAGAAUUCAAAUUCAUUAAAACUUGCUCAAAAUAGGGUGUCAUUUAAAUUCUAGGCAUUUAAUUUCAUUUUCUUUAAUUUAAUUAAUUCAUCGUAGGAGUUAUUUGGGUGUGACACAAGGCUAUUAUAUAUACUCCCAAAGUCUUGGAUGUCACUGAGUAACAUGUAUUUCUCUUGCAAGCAGCUGUGCACAUUAGCCAGAGAACUCUGAAGUGUUGGAGGAAACCAAAUUACUAUGAUGAGUCUUGACUUGUGUAGCCAAAUGCAUCCGCCGUAACUCGGCAAGCUUGAUGGCCAUCUUCCGCCCGUUUAAAUCAUUUUUUCGCAAUUAUCUACUCUCAGCAGAGUAAACAAACCUGUUUAGCCCACAAACACUUCUACAUACGAUGGUACGUGUCAUUAUGGCGGGUGCCUUUUAUUGUAUCUAAAGUUGCAUUAAACAACGGCACCAAGCCCAUGGUAUCUAAUUGGUGCCGGCGGGUAUGAUGGAUUUCUGGUCUCACGGCUUGACGAAUAAACUGGAGGAGAAACCCGCCAUUAAGCAUUUACUCCUGCUUGUAUGGUUUGGUUAAGUUUUAGAUGCCGGUUCUUACGGAUAGGAGGGAUUCAUACUCACAUUCCUGAGGUGCUCUGAUAUCUUCAUAGGAUAAUGUUAAAUGUUACAACAUUGCAUCGAAAAUGAAGAUUUGAUGAGCGCAAGUAUGGAUGCACAUUUUCUUUUUAGAAACUAAGCAUUGCAUGUGGCGUUUUCUUGUUUCCUGUCAUAAAAAAGAAAAUAAAAAUAACAAGACAAAUUGAAAUUAAUUUCAAGAACAUUCGAAUUUUGCGUGAAUCAUCAUGUUUCACGGUCCAUGUGCUCGCAUGAUUUUUACGUGAAUUGGCAGCAUAAUUUCUAUAUAAUAGCUAGGGUAAAAUACCAAAACACGGAAAAAUGAAAUUGAUUUCAAGAUUAGUCAACUUUUCUGUGAAUCAUUAUAUUACACGUGCCAUGUGUUUCUUCGCAGCGUGGUCUCAUGAUUUUCGACAAGCUAAACCUUACAUGUGGUCUUUUCUGAUAUCGUCUCAUGAUCUAUUUUCCAUUCCGGCGGUCUGUGUGCACGGACUUCGCUGGAAGAGCAGGCCUCCGAAGCUGCGUCCUUCACCAGAGACUCUACACCCGAGGAGUAGAAGGCCGAUCAAGUUUUUAGGGAGCGCGUCUGUGUCACUGCUCAUCGUUCGUCUACGACUACUUCCUAGAGGUACAAUUGCACUGCAAACAUCUGCACGGCAUCGAGUUCUGAUCGACUACAUCGAAUAAGCUCAACUAGCAAUGUUGGGUAAUGGCGCAUCUGGUUCCUCAGGAACUGGCUCCGCCUCAGGGUACUUCCUUAUGAACUUCUUGGUUUAAUUCUUACAGUUCAUAGUAUCCAUUGCAUGCUUUAUGUUCACUGCAAAUAAAAUAGUAUGCUAUCUUUAUUGUCAUGUUUCAUUUUAUAUUCGGAUUAAACUGAACCGCAAAUUGUCUCUAAUUCCAACAUUGGCAGCAUAAUUUCUAAUAACUAGGGUAAAAUACCAAAACACGAAAAAAUGAAAUUGAUUUGAAGAUUUGUUACUUUUCUGUGAAUCAAUUACACGUGCCAUGUGUUUCUUCUCAGCGUGGUCUCAUGAUUUUCAAAAAGCUAAACCUUACAGGUGGUCUUUUCUUAUUUCGUGUCUAAAAAAGAAAAUAAAGAUAACCCAAGAAAAUGGAAUUAAUUCCAAGAUCGGUUGACUUUUGUGUGAAUCAUUUACAUGCACAGAUGUGCCAUGCAUGCGUUUCUUCUUCUCAGUAACAUGGUGAUCUUAUGAUCGCUGGAGGCACUACCGGAAACAGUAAGGUUGCCGAGUGUCUGAGGCACUCGGCAAAGGCCGAAAAACUCUCGGCAAAGAGUUCGCCGAGUGUAACACUCGGCGAACGGCACUUGGCGAACUUUCCUACGGCAAACGUGGAGUUGCCGAGUGUCGAACAUCGAGCACUCGGCAAAUAAUUUGCCGAGUGUCAAAAAGCACUCGGCAAACAUUUUCGGAAAAAAAAAAACCGCCGGCCGUCGGCCGCCGGCCACGGCCACGGCCACCACGCCGCCACCGGCUGCCUACGCCGCUGCCGCCCGCCCGCCGCCGCCCGCCCGCCGCCGCCCGCCCGCCGCCGCCCGCCGCCACGCGCCAGAUCCGGAGGGGAGAGAGGUGGGGGCCGCCGGAUCCGCGCCGGAGGGGAAGAAGGGGGCGCGGAUCCGGCCGGUGGGGAGUGAGCCGAGGAAGGAGAGGCCGGAUCCGGAGGGGAAGAAGGGGGCGGCGGCGGGCGGGGGCGGGGGCGGGGGCGGACGCCGGGCGGCGGUGGGGCCGGGGGCCGGGCACCGGGCGGCGGGGCGGGGGGCGCCGGGCGGCGGGCCGGGGAGCGCCGGGGGCGGGGGGAGAGAGCAAGAUCUGAGGAGGAGAUAGUGGCGGAAGAGAUAAGGCCGGUGCGGUGCGGGCCGGGAUAAGGCCGGCUUGCGGUUGGAAAAAAAAAACGGUCGCCGAGUGUCCUAGGGUGACACUAGGUGAACGGUUGUUUGCCGAGUGUCUACCCUAGGACACUCGGCAAAGAUAUUUUAAAAAAAAUUUAAAAAAUAUCUAACAGUUUUAAAAAAUUGUCAAAAAUUUACAUGAAAUAAUAUAUAUUCUCUAUUAACUAUACAAAAAGUUUUGUAGUCAAAUCAAAACUCAACCGUCAUUUUGACUCCAAAUCUUAUGCAAUCCUUGUCAACGUUACUAUUCUUCUUCUGAAAUGCUUCGGUUUGUAAACAUCGUACGUAAUGAAAUAUGCAAAACAUUCUCAAUUUUUUUUCCACAGCCUCCACCUAUGAUAUUAUCACAUCAUGACAAAUCUCAUGAUUUUCAGACUUUGCUUGUUUUUUUAUAAUUUAAAAAUACCACUGCCACACGUUCGUGGUCGUGUUUCCUGAACAAGAUGUUCGAAAUUUCUUGUCAUUUCAUGGGUCAGGUCUCAAAUUGGGCCGAAUAACAUGAAUAUCAUUUUUCUACUCAUUUUGUUCCAUAAUUUCAAUCAAUUGCAGUUCAAAUUUGACUUAUACCAAAAAUUUCCUUGAAAUGCAAUUAAUUAAAUAAAUAUAGCAAAUAAAUCCAAAAAUAUACCAAAUUUUAACAUGGAGUACCACAUGUUGUAUGUGGGGAGUAGAAAAAAUUUCAUGGUGAAAAGAGGAAAAAAAUUAUUUUUUUGCCGAGUGUCAAAAAAAACACUAGGCAAACCCCCCCUAUUUGCCGAGUGUUUUUUUGACACUCGGCAAACCCCUCUCUUUGCCGAGUGUUUUUUUUGACACUCGGCAAAGAGGGGGGUUUGCCGAGUGUCAAAAAUAUACUCCGCAUAAAGCGGGGUUUGCCUAAUGUUUUAUUAAAAACUCGGCAAAAAAUAGAUUUUGACCUGGCCGGGGAGUUUUUAUUUGCCACUCGGCAAAGCCCCAAUUUCCCGAGUGUAUUUUUUUUCCCGAGUGUUUUUGAGCUUGGCACUCGACAAAGAGCUUGUUUGCCGAGUGCUCGCAAAAAAACACUCGGCAAAAAAAAUACACUCGGCAAUUUUUAGCUUUCCCGUAGUGAGGGAUUCCUUGCUGCGUGUACACACAACACAAGACCACCAGUUCACGCAGUCACCAUUGCCAUUAGCGCCGUCCUUUGCGACGUGAACGCAAGACAGGGUGAUCAUGACUCAUAAGGAGGGUCAGGGUCACGGAUGUUAGUUGUAGACUUACCCACCACGUUGACGACGAAGAAUCCUUUUAAUUAUUCCAGGGUGGCAACUGGCAAAGCCCGACGAGGCUUACUAAAGCAUCCGUGUGUAUACCAUCAGUUAAUCUCAUUUCUCAAUUUCCUUCAGGUCACAUGACGUUGGCACCCGGUAAAAUGAAACACUGAUGCAUCGUGAAAAGAGCUCAUGGUUCCGGAAUGAGCAGUUUGUUGGAUGACUUGCACUGCUUACAAGAGUGUUAUGAAUAAACACUCCCAUGCCUUGGAUGCCAUUCAAAAUGUUACCAAACAUAUGUAGAGUAACCUGCGUUUCUCUUUCAAGCAGCUAUUUAUGAAGUAUUGGAGGAAACCAAAUUACAUGCUUUCACUUGUGUAGCUGAAUGCAUCCAUGACAAUUCGACGAGUCAUAUUAGCAUAUUCUUCCUUACUUCCUUACUCUGCCCUAUUGAAAUAUUUCUCUCACAGUCUGCUAAAAAAUUAGGGCCAACAAACACUUCUAUAUAAGAUGGCGCGAGCCAUAACAGUUGGUGUGGUAACUGUAUCAAAGCUUGCACUAAACGCUGGAAUUUGGCCCAUGGUGCUAAUAGUAUACAUGAUCGUGACGGGUACGGAUGGUCAUGAUGUAUUUGAGAAAAGAGCGUCUGGUUCUUGCUGACUUCGAUCGAUGGCAUGAUCAAUGACAUGAUCAAGUUUGCUACCUAGCUGGAUCUGGAUAAGAGCACAUGUGUAAUGUGGUGGUGCGGCACCAAAGUGUGGUGCUCGUUGUCAACCAAGCCAUCAAUCAUGGUUUUUUUAAAAAAAAAUGUCGGAUACAAGAACUUUUGUAUCUGUCUGACCUUGUUCAUCUUCACUAGACAUCACAACCAGCUACACAUGCAAACUAGAUAAUGCAAUCUUCUAUAUUAUUACUAAUCAGACUCAUUUUGGAGCCUCCAUGUCAACACUCAUGAGAUGCGCUAGAAAAAAAAAGAUAAAUCCUUGAAAUUCACAUAAAAAUAAAAUAUAAAAUAUGAUCACGUUUAUACAUAUAUAGUGGCAUAAGUUUAGCCACUUCUUAGUUUUCUUCGCUUCAUGUCUCACACGACAUUGCUGGCACCAAGCAAACAGAACACUGAUGACUAAUAGAUGAACAUUGUAAAGUGAACUCACGAUCCGGAGUGCACUCAUGAUAGAUGAAGGAUGCAUGAACAGUUAUUGGACGACUUGCAGCAACGGUUACAUGCUUGCAAGCUAGAUAAAUACCAAAGACUGUCAUAUAUACUCUCAUUCCUUUGCUGCCGUUCAAAUGUUACACGGUAGUAUAGUAUUAAGAGAAACUUGUGUGCAGGAUCUUUUUUUUUUGCAACUUGUAAGAACUAAGAACUAUGAACUUUGUUUGAUCUGAUCUUUGGUCAACCAUCACCUUUGGUCUGAACUUUUUUACCGGCGGCAGCACAAACUUGGGAGGGACUCUGCGGCGGAGCAUCAACCAUCACCUUUGAUCUGAUCUUCAGAGUUCAGUCAUAUAUAUAGUUCAGUUAACUUAAUGGUUAUGAGUCUGAAGGAAAACCGCAAUUAUUUUACAUUUUGAUAUCGCCAAACUCCUGCCAAAUGCCUAAUCCCUUUCAAAUGAUGAUAAAUAUUUUCAUUUCAGGGCGGCAAAAUCUGAAGAGGCUCACUGUAUAUUGUACAUUAGUGCUACUAUCAGUUCAGCACCUUCUUCAUUUCCUUGAGGUCACACCACAUUAGUACCAGCAAUCAAAACACUUACGCAUCGUCAGAUCAACUCAUGGCUGGUGAAUGAUCCAUGAACAAUUGUUGGAUGACUUUGCAUCAACGGAUGCAUGCUUAUAUUACAAGCCAGAACCAUGCUCAAGACUGUCAUACUAUCAUAUAUAUACUCCUGUGGCUUGGAUGCCAUUCAAAAAUGCUGCAAGAGGUAGAGCAACUUGUAGUUCUCUGUCGAGGUGUAAACGAGCUGUGUAUAUUGGGAGGGACCUCUGAAAUAUUGGGUUGACUACCGGAAACAGGAAAGUUACCGAGUGUAAAAUCUUUACCGAGUACUUUUUGUCGGGCACUUGGCAAACACCUCGUUUGCCGAGUGUAUAGGCGCGGACACUCGGCAUACACAAUGCACUCGGCAAACAACAGAUUUGCUGAGUGUCGUGGAAAACACACUUGGCAAAAAUCCAACCGACACUCGGCAACAAUUUGACACUCGGUAACUCUCCAGCACGUGGAUCGCACGUGCGCCGUCCGUUAGGGCAGUGUGCUGGCCAUUAGUACUUUGCGGAAUGUCCGUUACCGACACUCGGCAAAGUUAGAGGUUGCCGAGUGCUUCCUCUAGACACUCAGCAAACUUAGAGUUUUGCCGAGUGUUUUCCACCGCCACUUGGCAAACAUAGAGUUUUGCCGAGUGUUUCUGUUGGCACUCGGCAAAGACAAAACUUUCUUUUUCACAUCUGCCCUCCACACUUUUUCUACUCCUCGCAUACGACAUUUGGUACUGCAUGUUAAAAGUUGGUCUAUUUUUUGGUUUGUUUGCUAUUUUUAAUGAAUUAAUAUCAAUAAUAGGAAUUUGUUGAUUUAAGUCAAAUUUAACUGCAAGUGAUUGAAAUAAUGGAAUAAAAUUAGUGAAAAAAUCAUAUUCAUGUUAUUGAAUCCGGAUUGAGGUCUCAAUCAGGAAAUGAAAAGAAAUUUUGAACAUUUAUUUUAGAAAACAUUACCACGAACGUGUGGUUGAAUGGUUUUUAAAUUCUAAAAAAAGCAAACGAAGUGUGAAAAUUACAAGAUUUGUCAAGAUGAAGCUACUCCUGUGAGUCACUUUUCAACCAUACAAUCAAUUUAUAAUUAAACUAGAAAGUACGGGUACUAGAAACUUAUAAUAGAAAAGUGACUAAUGCAAUCUCUUUAACUUUGUGCAGAAUCAAUCGGCAGCAUCCAAUGCUUUCUUGGAGCCAUCAUCUUGGUCGCAGUGGUCACCUACACAUCCUCCUCAGUGACUUGUUUGAACGGCUAGUGUGUUAAGCAAACUUGUGAAUUACUUGUUUAGACUAGAACCUAUAUGUACUUGUGAAUGUUAUUUGUGUGCUUGUGAUGCUUGUGAUGCAAUCUAUAUGCCUGUGAUGCAAUUUAUAUGCAUGUGAUGCUUCUGUGGUUGUUAUUUGAGAGGGGUCCUUUAUAUGUAACGAAUCUGUUUUGCAGGUAGAGGAAGGACACUUUGCCGAGUGUUAACACUCGGCAAAGAGGUCAAUUUCUAUUAUUCUGGGACUACUUUGCCGAGUGUUUUUGUUACAACACUCGACAAGGCGCCAUAAAAUGCUGGCGGUAGCAGCUUCUUUGCCGAGUGCCUUGCCAACGACACUCGGCAAAGUUUAAAAGUUUGCCGAGUGUCAUGAGUACGGCACUCGGCAAAAUAUAAAUCUUCGCCGAGUGUCGAGUAGACAGCACUUGGCAACAUGGAAAUAUUCGUCGAGUGUCGGGGAGGAGGCACUCAGCAAAAUAUAAAUCUUUGCCGAGUGUUCUUCCGUCUGACACUCAGCAACAACUCCGUUACCGUGACAUUCCGUGAACACCUUUUUGCCGAGUGUUUGGUUUUGUCGAGUGUUUUUUGGCACUCGGCAAAGUCUUUGCCAAGUGCCUGACGUUUGACACUCGGUAAAGAUACUGUUUGCCGAGGAAAAAUUCGCCGAGUCCUUUUCGCCGAGUGUUACACUCGGCAAACGCUUUGCCGAGUGUUUUUAGGCUUUCGCCGAGUGCGUAGGGCACUCGGUAAACUUACUGUUUCCGUAGUGGUUAUUGGAGGUAACCAAAAUAUCAUCCUCAGCUUUGACCUGUGUGGCUUAGUUCAUUCUAGGUAACUCAGCGGGCGACGUGGGCAUAUGGCUGUGGUAUCUGGUACUUCCGCUUGUUCGGCCGUUUUAAUGGAUUCACGAUAAGUUAUCUUCUCAUGGUCUUUGUCGAGUACAACUGAUGUAAAACGUCUGACACAGUGUAUUGAAGCGGUCGAUCCUCUCUCAUUCUGAUUGAACUCUUGGAGAUAGCAUACCAGUAGCAAAAAUUCCUUCUUUUUCAAAUUGAACAGCAAAAACAAAAAUGAUACUGUGACAGAUAAAGGACUUUGCAGGAACAGAGAUAUCAUCUGUCGUUCAGUCGUGGAACCGACUCAUGAUAGAUAAAGGACAUUGCAGGAACAGAGAGGGACAGAGCCCGUCUCUGCUAACACUUGCCAACCUCUGUGCUUUGCGCUGGUCUUCUCUAGUUUAGCCAAUCUUUUUUUUUUUUGCCUGAUGCAAAACUGACUAAACUCUCGGUGAAAGAAAAAUUAAGGACUUCCACGAAGCAGGACUCUCUGGGCCUAGCACAGGCCUAAACACCAAGCUGCUGAGCCCAAAUUUAUUCCGCCAAUGUCUCCAUGAUGUGCUUCCUGGUUAGGGGUCAAGAACUGUCCUUUAUGACUUGAUCCGAUGCCUCGAUGGUGUGGUUAGCGACUUUUGCCUGACAGACUGAACUAUGUAUGAAGAGACUACAUUUUCUUUCUUUUUAAAAAUAAAAAGCUGGACUUCACAGGUGGCUUGGUUGUUGUGCCUGCGCGUAUUCCUUCGCUAGGCACCGAAUUUGCUUGCAUUCAUAGAGCUUUCACUUGUGUAGCUGAAUGCAUCCACAACGACUCGGCGAGGCAUGUGGGCAUAUUGUUCUUUACUUUUGCCUAUUCAAUCAUUUCUCUCACGAUCCACUACAAAAAUCAGAGUCAACAAGAUCGCAUGAGUGAUAAUAGCGGACAUGGUUGCUCUAUCAUAGAUUGCACUAAACACUGGAAUACGUCAUAUCUUACUAUUACUAAUUGGAGGCUCCUUUUGAAGCCUCCAGGUGAAGCCACCUAGGAUUCCUAGGUGGACACCCUAGAAAUCCUAAAAAUUCUCACAAAAAAGCAAAACAUCCAACCAUCAAUUGAUAUAUUCAAAUCAUCACAGCCAUUGGAUCUAUUAUGUUUUUAAAAAAAUUACCCACCUAUGCCAUUAUGAAAAUAGCCUAAAGUAACCCCCUAAAUCUAUAUAUAAAUUACCCACCUCUACCAUUAUAUAAAAUAAACUAAAGUAACCCCUUAAUCUUCAUCGAAAUUACCCACUUAUGACAUUAUAAAUAAUAUUUAAAAUAACUCCCUAAUUUGCAACUGAAUUGCCUACCACUAUUACUUAAAGUAACCCAUUAAAUUUGCAUCUAUAUUACCCACACAUGCCAUUAUUAAAAAUAGCAUGAGGUAACCCUACGUUUUAAUCAAAUAACCUUAAUUAAAAAUAUACAACAAUAUAUGAUUCUAAAUCGUCUAUAUCUUACACUAUUGGUAUACGAUAUAAUAAUUAAGGUCUUUACGUAUGAUGUGUGUCACCAUUUAUAAGGAUAUAAAGUGAUGAGAAUAUAAAUUUCUAUGCUAAAAUUGUAUCUCAAAAUUAGGGUUCAUUAAACAAAUUCUAGCGCAUAUCUGCGAUGCAAAGUGAAAAGUUAAAGAUUAUAAAUGUGGAUGAAAAUAUUAUAGAGUAAUUACUAACUAAAACCUAUCAUAAUUAGAUGAAGAUAUUAAGUAUAUAUCUACGUAAGUAUUAUGUUUGAAUAUGUAAGAAACGAGAGGUAGCUUAUGGUAAUAGUUUUGUAGCAAUGUAGUCUUAUUUUGUUCCAUUGGAGACUCUGCAUUAGUUCCCACGAGACAAGCUAGAAAAAAGAGAUCUAUUAUAUUUUAUAACCACGAGACAAGCUAGAAAAAAAGAGACAAAUUCUUAUAAAAAUUAAAAAACAUCAAACACCAAUUCUGUAAACUAUAAUAAUCAUAGCCAUUGAUCUAUUAUAUUUUCUAAAAAGUUACCCGACACUAUCAUUGUGAAAAUAUUCAAAAAUGAGCUCUAAACCUAUAUCUAAAUUAUCGAGCUCAGCUAUUAUAAAAAAUAAUCUAAAGUAACCCCAUAAUAUUCAUCCAAUUUGGUAAUACACAUCAUUAUAAAUCAUAACUUAAAAUGUCAUUCAAAAAUUUUAUUUAUGGUACCCACGAAUGUCGUUAUUAAAAAUAACCUAAAGUAAACACCUAAAUCUUAAUCUAAUUAUGUUCAUGUGCAUCAUACAGAAAUGUCAAAAAGUAAACUAAUAUAUGAUUCUAAAUUACCUAUUUAUGUCAUUGUUAAUAUAAAAAUACUAAGUUAAAGUAUAUACACAUGAUGAGUGCCACCAUUUGGACCAUUUAUGCAAGUAUGUGAGGAAUCAAUGAAAAAUAUUGAUUUGUAUGCUAAACAUAAUGUAUGGAGGAUUGGAGGUGUGAUACAAAAUAGAAAAAGUAUGAAUAUGGAUGAAAAAGUGCAUAGAGUAAUUAUUAAUUCAAAAUCAAUCACAACUGGAUAAAGAUAGGUAUAUAUCUAUAUAAGUAUUAUGUUGAAUUAUUGAAAAAUAAGAGAGCAGUAAUUAAACAAUUUGGAUUGUUAGCUAGAGUUUAAUUUCUAAAUAAUUUUUAAGUACAAUAGCUUUUAAAAAUAUUAGCCCGGGAGCACGGGUUGAUGGACUAGUGGUGCUAAUAGUAUACGUGUUUGUAACUGAUAUGGAUAGACAUGAUGUAUUAUUUGUUAAAAGAUCCUCUGGUUCUUGAAUAGUUGAUCAAUUACAUGAGUUUGCUACCUGGAUGUGGAUGACAACACAAGUGUAGUGUGGUGUCUAACUGUGGUGCUAGCAUGACAUGAUCAUGGUAGAUGAAUGAUCCAUGAAUAAUUGUUGCAUGACUUCCAUCAAUGAUCAAUGGAUGCAUGCAUAAAGCAACAAUACCAAAGACUAUCACACUAUCAUUUACCAUUCAAAAUGUUUCAAGAGGUAGACUUGUAGAACAACCUGUGUAUCUUGCUGUCAAGAUGUACUCUAAAGUAUUCAGCGACCAGCAAGCAUUGAGUUUGGUGGUUGUACCAGUAGGUGAGCGGUGGUGCAUUAUUACCUUCACCGUCCGCUUCCACAGAGCAUUGAGCUGGGUGGCUGCAGCAGCGACUUCGAAUCAAGGGAGCUUGGUCCGGCGACGAGCGGCGGGGAGCCUGCACCGGCGGCGACAAGGCUCCAUUGCGACCAGUACGUCCUUGCUCACGCAUUCUCGUUCUUUACAGCUACUAGGCCAGGAUCUUUUCUAGUAUUAAACUAGCCUAAGCAAGAAUACGUCUUCAACUCGAUUCGCAAGCCUGUGCACACACAUACAUGCAUCUCACUUUCUUGCGCUCAUCCAGGAGUGCUCAUCGGAGAAAUGGAGGUCAUGGCUGGGGCACUGCCAUGCGUCAUAAAAAAACUCGGUGAUAACUACUCACCGACAAGUUUAUACUACUCAAUUAACGUAUCCCAACUAAACUUUCUCCUAAACGAAGCAUUAAUUGGGUUAGUAAGCUGGCGAGAGCCGCUACGCGUCAUUCCACAUGCGAGCGGGCCCCACCAUGUGCGUCUCGUCCUCCACCUCUCACGCACCCUCUUCAACUGUCGGUGGAGCACCCUCUUCAACCUUCCCCCCGGGCAUCUGCAUCCCAUCGACCUCUGCUUCGUGCUCUUCAAUCUUCAAUCUUCUUCAUGCCCAUCCAUUCCCAAUAGGCAAUAGCUACAACCUACAAAAAGGCAGGGCGAGCACCCGCAUCCGAAGGAGCCCAAGCGGCCAUCCACAAAGAGGUAAAGAAGAUAUAUUAAUAUGAUUUCUGUCGUUAGCUUCUCUCCAAUUAACCUUACACAUUGGUCUUCCCCAGGGACAAAUCCAUGGAGAUCGUGACCGGGGCAAUUCCAAGCCUCCUGCACAAGCUCGGUGAGUUGCUAGUUGGCGAGUACAAUCUGCAAAAGGAGGUGAAGGGAGGGAUCAUCUUCCUUCAAGCUGAGCUCGAGAGCAUGCAAGGUGCCCUCGAGAAGAUCUCGAUGACACCAGCAGACAAGAUUGACGACCAGGACAAGAUCUGGGCUAGGAGAGUGAGAGAGAUGUCCUACGAUAUAGAGGACAAUAUUGACAAAUAUAUCGUGCAGUGCAAGGGGAGGAAGACGGCCGAACAGCAUAGCUUCAAGGAAGCCAUUGAUAGGACCCUCAACUGGUUCAGGCAGCCUAAGAUUCGUCGUAAGAUUGCUACAGAAAUCAGAGAGAUCAAGAGCCGUGUCAUAGAGGUGCAUGAACGGCGCCGCAGGUAUGAGGUCAGCCUUGGUGUUGAUAAGCCUGUAACUGUGGACCCUCGUUUAUUCGCUCAGUACACGGAGGUGAAAGAGCUUGUUGGAAUUGAUGAGGCAAGGGAUGAGUUAAUCAGCAAGAUUAUGAUAGAAGAGAAUGAAGUUCCCAAGAAGCAAGGCAGGAUAGUUUCAAUUGUUGGAUUUGGAGGUCUGGGAAAGACAACUCUUGCCAAUGUAGUGUACAAAAAGAUUAGAGCACAAUUUGAUUGCUAUGCUUUUGUUUCUGUUUCUCAAACUCCUGACCUGAAGAAACUGUACAAAUGCUUGCUAUAUGAUCUUGGCAAGAGCAUCAACGAAGAAACAUUGGAUGAGAGGCGACUCAUAGAAGCACUCAGAGAAUUCCUUGAAGACAAAAGGUACGAAAGCAUUCCUUUCACCAAUUUAUACAUAUGAACUUUUUUGGACUGAUAAUUUAUGCCCUCUGUUCACAGUACUAUAAGUCUAAAUAGGGUUAAUUAAAUGUUCAUGCACGUGGCACCUAUUAAAUUACAAAAUACAACCACUUAAGCUUUACCACAACAUUAUUAAGUGCAAAUAAUUUCCUCACUGGACCUCGUUUUGUUUUGACAAAAUUCUGAGUGGACUUAUUUUAUCCACAGACUUGCCAAUCCAGCUGCUCCCGAGCUAUUUUAAUUUAAUCAUUAAACCAUUAGCAGUGGUCUAGUUUGCUUAAUUUUCUUGUAGCCGGUAUAUGAACAACAUUAGAGCUUUCUUCAGUCCUUAAACCACUAUUUUUGCUAAUAAC